AGCUUUGCUCAGUGGCAGUGUUGUAGCCAAUGAGGUUUAUCUGAGGCGCAAUUAUUGCUAAUUGGAAAAAAAAAAAAAAGGCGCCAGGGGAAGGGCCCACCAGGUGGCGGUAAUUUGCGAGGCGUGGCACAUAAG
rnacentral:snRNA from 1 species